UACGUAGGGCGCAAGCGUUGUCCGGAAUUAUUGGGCGUAAAGAGCUCGUAGGCGGUUUGUCGCGUCUGCUGUGAAAACCUAAGGCUCAACCUUGGGCUUGCAGUGGGUACGGGCAGACUAGAGUGCGGUAGGGGUGACUGGAAUUCCUGGUGUAGCGGUGGAAUGCGCAGAUAUCAGGAGGAACACCGAUGGCGAAGGCAGCUCGCUGGGACGGUACUGACGCUGAGGAGCGAAAGCGUGGGGAGCGAACAGG
rnacentral:rRNA from 1 species